rnacentral:pre_miRNA from 5 species
AGGUCCCUGUUGGAGAAGCAGGGCACGUGCAAAUUAUGAUCGUAGCACGCUUCGUGCUUGUAUAGUACGUGCAUGCAUGGAUCGUCGUGCACGCGCUCCCCUUCUCCACCAUGGCCUU